rnacentral:tRNA from 1 species
AGGUUACCAAAACGCAACUCAUGAAGCGGAGUUAAUUAUUCAACAGAAUAACAAUCACGAUAUCGG